UGCCCAGAAACUCCUAUGCCCACCUCCUCGCGGUACUGGCCGGGGUACGAGUAACCUUUGGGAAGA
rnacentral:ribozyme from 1 species